AGUGAACGCUGGCGGUAGGUCUAACACAUGCAAGUCGAACGGCAGCACAGGAGAGCUUGCUCUCUGGGUGGCGAGUGGCGGACGGGUGAGGAAUACAUCGGAAUCUACUCUGUCGUGGGGGAUAACGUAGGGAAACUUACGCUAAUACCGCAUACGACCUACGGGCGAAAGCAGGGGAUCUUCGGACCUUGCGCGAUUGAAUGAGCCGAUGUCGGAUUAGCUAGUUGGCGGGGUAAAGGCCCACCAAGGCGACGAUCCGUAGCUGGUCUGAGAGGAUGAUCAGCCACACUGGAACUGAGACACGGUCCAGACUCCUACGGGAGGCAGCAGUGGGGAAUAUUGGACAAUGGGCGCAAGCCUGAUCCAGCCAUACCGCGUGGGUGAAGAAGGCCUUCGGGUUGUAAAGCCCUUUUGUUGGGAAAGAAAUCCAGCUGGCUAAUACCCGGUUGGGAUGACGGUACCCAAAGAAUAAGCACCGGCUAACUUCGUGCCAGCAGCCGCCGUAA
rnacentral:rRNA from 1 species